rnacentral:rRNA from 1 species
GACGAACGCUGGCGGCGUGCUUAACACAUGCAAGUCGAACGGUGAAGCGCCUUCCUUUUUGGUGGGUGUGGAUGAGUGGCGAACGGGUGAGUAACACGUGAGUAACCUGCCCCCUUCUUCUGGAUAACCGCAUGAAAGUGUGGCUAAUACGGGAUAUUCUGGGUCUGUCGCAUGAUGGGUCUGGGAAAGAUAUUGUUUCGGUGGGGGAUGGGCUCGCGGCCUAUCAGCUUGUUGGUGGGGUGAUGGCCUACCAAGGCGGUGACGGGUAGCCGGCCUGGGAGGGUGGACGGUCACACUGGGACUGAGACCCGGCCCAGACUCCUACGGGAGGCAGCAGUGGGGAAUAUUGCACAAUGGGCGCAAGCCUGAUGCAGCGACGCCGCGUGAGGGAUGGAGGCCUUCGGGUUGUGAACCUCUUUCGCCAGUGAAGCAGGCCUGCCUCGUUUGUGGGUGGGUUGACGGUAGCUGGAUAAGAAGCGCCGGCUAACUACGUG